rnacentral:lncRNA from 1 species
AGGCAGAAGAAGAGAAACAAUCUAUCUUCUUCCAAAUAAAAAAUAAAGGAAGGAGAUAGGAAAGGGUUGAAAAGGAUAAAAAAAAAAUUACAUUAGAUACAUUGUUGGCUGAAGGAAAAAAAUUCAAAAAAAUGGCUCGUGGAGCGAUUAUUGCAUCCAUGCUCUGCCUUCUGGCUGUAGCAGUGGUGGCUGAAGACCCUUAUAUCUAUUACACAUGGAAUGUGACCUACGGUACCAUUUCACCUCUUGGAAUCCCCCAACAGGGUAUCCUCAUCAAUGGUUUGUUCCCAGGACCUGAAAUCAACUCCACCAGCAACAACAACAUUGUCAUCAACGUGUUCAACAACCUUGACGAGCCAUUGUUGUUCACAUGGAGCGGUAUCCAGCAGAGGAAAAACUCAUGGCAAGAUGGUACAUUGGGAACUCAGUGCCCCAUCCAGCCAGGAACCAACUACACAUACAAGUUCCAGGUCAAGGACCAGAUCGGUAGCUACUUCUACUACCCCUACACCGGCCUCCAGAGAGCCGCCGGUGGAAUCGGUGGUUUGAGAAUCUACUCCAGGUUGUUGAUCCCUGUCCCAUAUGCUGACCCUGCUGAUGAAUACUGGGUCCUCAUGGGUGACUGGUACGCCAAGCCCCACACCACCCUCCAGAAGUUUUUGGACAGUGGUCGUAGCCUUGGAAGGCCAGAUGGCGUCCACAUCAUGGGUAAAAAUGGUAGCCCAGUCCCACUCUACACCAUGGAGCCUGGAAAGACCUACAAGUACAGGCUCUGCAAUGUGGGUAUGAAGGACUCCCUUAACUUCAGAAUCCAAGGCCACCCAUUGAAGCUUGUUGAGAUGGAAGGCUCCCAUGUGGUGCAAAACGUCUACGACUCCCUCGACAUCCAUGUUGGUCAGUGCUACUCUGUCCUCGUGACUGCCGACCAGGAACCAAAACAAUACAAGAUGGUCGCCUCCACACGCUUCACCAAGAAGGUGUUGUCCGCCACCGCUCUCAUCACCUACUCUAACGGUAACGGUCCCGCCUCCCCUGAGCUCCCACCUGCACCUGAAGGCUGGGCCUGGUCCCUCAACCAGUUCCGUUCCUUCCGUUGGAACUUAACCGCUAGUGCUGCCAGGCCUAACCCUCAAGGCUCUUACCACUACGGCCAGAUCAACAUCACCCGAACCAUCAAGCUCGUGAACACCGUCUCUAGGGCUAACGGAAAACUCCGAUACGGAAUCAACGGUGUGUCCCACGUUGACAACGAAACCCCACUCAAGCUCGCCGAGUACUUCGGUGUUGCUGACAAGGUUUUCAAGUACAACAUCAUCUCCGAUGAGCCCCCGGCAACCAUCGGUGACCUCACCUUGGCUCCCAAUGUCAUUAACGCCACUUUCCGUACCUUCAUCGAGAUCAUCUUCGAGAACCCCACAAAGGUUGUUCAGUCAUACAACUUGGAUGGUUACUCCUUCUUCCUUGCCGCAGUUGAGCCAGGGAAAUGGACACCCGAGAAGAGGAAGAACUACAACCUUUUAGAUACAGUGAGCAGGCACACCGUUCAGAUAUACCCCAAGUCAUGGGCAGCAAUCAUGCUUACAUUCGACAACGCUGGCAUGUGGAACUUGAGGUCAGAGCACACCGAGAACCGCUACCUUGGUCAACAAUUGUACAUCAGUGUCUUGUCUCCUGAACGCUCUCUCAGGGAUGAGUACAACAUUCCAGAAACCCAGCUCCUUUGCGGCAUCGUCAAGGAUAUGCCCAAGCCCGCACCCUACUCUUAAGCAUUUAUCAACCUGCAUUAAGACGAUGUAUUAGCUUUAUUUUGUAGCUGAUGUAUCCACCGACCCUUUCCUGAAUGCCACAAAUUUUCAGCUCCAUAUGUAUACACAUAUAUAAUAUGAAUGUCAAAUUCUCCUUCCAAUCCACUUCUAUGUGGGUUUUGUCAUGGAAUAUGUACACACAUCAGUUCUUUCAUUAAUUUCAAGUGACGGAAAUUAAACUUUACUCAAGCUAGAGCUACUACGACCUGAGCUCACACCAUAAGCAGAAGGAUAUAUAAUUGAACUAACCAAAAGAACUAAAUAUUAAGAAGAAAUUAUUAGUCUGUUUGUGCUGGUUUGGGUGGGUUGUGCCCAGAGGCGGACCCAGAAAUUUUGUGACACCUGGGCAAAAUUUUCACAUCGUCUUGAAUAUUUGGAGGAUACUCAUUAAUUUGUUUCCUACGCCCUGGAUCACGCACAAUCUCAUUCGGAUGAAACUCAUUGACCACAUUAGGCGAUGGUUCUACUUCGGCUUCCGGUUGUACAACAUUCACAUUCUCAAUACUUGCUCUAGGAACCAAGAACUUCCUCAUCUCUAAAAUUUAAUGAUCUAAAGAAACAACAAAGAAAAGCACAAUUAGAAAUUAUGAUCAAAUUAAAAAAGCACUAAAAACAACACUAAUAAAUAAAAAUGAAAAGGAGACAAUCUAUAUUCACAUGAUUAGUAUAUUGGAUGUACAAAAAAUGGAAGAGAAGAGAUCAUGGACCACAAGCAAUUACCAAAUUUUGGACCACAAGCAAUUACUAAAUUGAAUUGAAUACAUUACACAUUAUACAAUAUACAUGGCAAAUGGCAAUUGUUGGCAAGUGGCAAACCGCAUCUCAUGACUCAUGUAAUCUGUCUCUCACACUUUUCUAACUUAUCCUUCACACACUCACAUAGUCACACAUGACACAUACAAUUAAUAUUUGAUUCAAGAAUACCAAACCCAACUCACUCACGCAUCUCUCACUCUCUGUCUCACUUUUCCCUUUUUUUUUUACCUUUUCUGCCUUAACCUUUCUCUCAGUCUCUCACUCAGUCUCUCUCACCGCUCACCUCCUCUCCUCUGUUCCUCUCGACAACGCCCACGCCACGCCUCACCCACACGACACGCAGGCCGCAACCGCGCCCUCACCCACACCGGCACACGCAGGCCGCAGCCACGCCCACGCCCUCACCACCCACCGCCUCAGGCGGCCCUCACCCACGCCCUCACACCACAGCCCACAGGUCUCACUCACGGCACACCCCCUCACAGAGUCACAAUAGGAUAUUGAGAUUUACAGAGCAAAUAAGUUUGAAGCUAGGAUGGAGAAAUCAGAGAGAAAGAGACCUGAUUCCUGAAGAUUGAAGCUUGAAGAGUAAGAGUACUCAGAGAGAAAUGAAGAUUGCUGAAGAUUGAAGGGAAGCCUGAAGAUUGAAGCCUGAAGAUUGAAGUCAAUUGAAGUCUGAGAAGGAAAUUGAAGCGUGAUUUGAAGCCUGAAGGGAGAAAGUGAGUAGGAAAUUGAGAAUAGGGUUUCUAUUUUAUUAUUUUCCCCUUUCUUUUCCCCUUUAUAAAAUAGUCCUCAAUUUUACCCCAACCUUUAAAUUUUGCCCUUUUUUAUUUUUUUUUUGAGGCCCAAAAGAUGAUGUGGUCCAAAGAAAAAAAUUUUUUUUUGGUCAGAGCUUGGGCAUUUGCCCUAGGUAGCCAGGCGCUCAAUCCGCCUCUGGUUGUGCCUAUAUACUAGCUAAUAUCGGCAUUUGUUUCGUUUUUUAUUUGUAUUUUCCCUUUGCUAAAUUUUGUACUUUGUUCGUGGGUUUGAAGUACCCUUUUACUUCCUUUAAUAAAAUGUUUCUAUAAAAAAAAAAAAGAAUAAUAGAGCGAUCAAAUGGAAAUGUAUAUGCUUAAUACGGAUUCAAAAUUCUAAACAUUCGUUCGUGGUGUAUAAAAUGCACUGUUUAUAAGUUAUUUUACAAUGAUGAGCCAUUAAAUUGUUUUCUAAUUUUUUCCCGAGUAAUGAUAUAUACACACCUCCUUAUUUAUACACUUCAUUUCCACCUAUUUUUAUUUCUAUCUCUCUCCUCUUAUCAUCUAUCAUAUCUUAUACUUUCUCUUUCUUACUUUUUAUUUUCUUCCUAUCUCUCUCCUCCUCCACCUCUUUCCACCUCAAUUUAGAGGUGUGGACAAAUAAUUAUUGAUUUUUUCCCUAUUGUGUUGUUUGGAUAUAUACAAUUGCAUACGUGUCAUGUGUACUUGUCAUUUUAUAGAUUUAAAUAUGUUUUUAUCAUGACUUAUAUACACUUAUAAUAUAAUACUAGUGUUUUUUUCCCGUGCGUUGCACGGAAAAUAUAUCUAUUGUUUUUUAUACAUCAAUUAAUCAUGAAUGUGAUUAUGCGAGUUCAUUUUCAGUUUUUUUUAAUUCUAAGUUAUUUAUGUUUUAAUUUUUUUAAAGUUGUUCUCAAUAUGUGUUCAGGGAACACGUGUCUACAAUAUCUUAGAUAAUUAGGGACAACCCUUUAAAAUUUAAUGGAUUAUAAUCUCAGCACUACAUAUUUUAUUUUCAAUCAUAUUGUAGAUCAUGAGAAAGAAUAAAAGGAGAAAUCAAAGGAUUCCUGUAAAUAUGCAGUAAAUUAGACUUGAGACUUUUCCAAAUUUAAAGAGAUAAUGAAAAUGGUUUCAAGAUUUGUUUUGGAAAUAAAUUUAGUAAGGAGUAAUCUAGGUUAUUCUUAGAUAAUUAGGGCAAAUCUUUAAAAAUUCGGUUUUAAGAUAAAAUAACACAACAGAAGAGAAACUAUCUAAUGGAAUGACACGUGAAUAUUUUUUUUAUGGGAAUUAACCUGAGAAUGACAAGUGAAUUUUUUUUUAUGAGAAUUAACAUGAGAAUGACAUGUCACUAAAUCAGCCUGAUAUAAGUUAUUCUUUUCUAUUGUAUAUAUAUUGGUUGAUGGUAUUCGAAAGAAAAAUCCUCUUUUUUCCCCUAAAUAAUUUUGUUUUAUUUAAAAUGGUUCCUCUAAUGUCAUAAUGCGAACAAAGGUUAUAGGAAAUUAAAGUUUGUGUGGGGAUAGACUGUAAGGAGCUUGUUUCUCUUGCGAUUGAUACUAACAGAGACAGAAUCCGAGUCCAUCCUCAAGCCUCCAUUAUCCGUGAUAUUAAGAUUCUCCUGGAUUUGGAUUGGCGGGUUGAGCUUUCCUGGAUUCCCAAUGAAGCCAAUGUUGCGGCUGAUUGCUUGACCUAACAGGGCGCUCAUUCAUCCCUUCCUGGGUUGCAUAUGGUGACUAAUGUUGCUCCUGAGUUAGACUGGUUGAUCCUUAAGGAUGCCUUAGUUGUUCCUUAGUUUGUUGUUGCUCUGUUGUCAUUUUUCCGAAGCACCAAAAAAAUAAUAAUGCUUAUUUGUCAUUUUUUAGUUGGGAUAAAUAUGUAUUUGGUUCUUAAACUAUAGCGAAUUAUUAUUAUUAGUCCCUGAAUUAAUUUUUCAUUGAAAUCCAUCCCUUAACUUGUUGGCGUGUGAGGUUUUGGUCCCUCGAGUCAUUUGAAUGAUUACGUAGCAUAGUGACGUGUAUGUAUUUUAUGAUGUGUUAUUUUUAGUCUAAAAUUUCAGUUCAAAUAUUUUGUGUGCUUUCUCCUUUGUGACAAUUUUAAGCACUUAAAAAUCAAGUCUUUAACCAUAAAAUUUUCCAUCUAUUUUCUCAACUUCUCUCCAAAUUUUCUUUUUAAGACUUUAUCACUAAUUGCAUAUUCAAUUAAACAUCAUUUUUAAGACAAGUUUUAGAAUAAAAAUAUUCUCCUUUUCCAUGCAUAGUCUCGCUCAUACAUUCCUAACUAUCAUGAUUGAUUAUCUUUAAAAUCAACUAACAGAAGGUAAAUCUAUGAUGAAAAAUAAUUCAAAGUUUAAAAACAAGACUUUAAUCAUUAAGAAAUUUCACAAGACUUAAACUUUAAGGAAUCAAAUUAGAGGUCUAGUAUGCUUUUGCAAAAUCGAAUAAGAAACCUCACUCUAUAUUGGAAUAGGCUUUUGCAAAAUCCAGUUUAACAAAAUGCCACCUUCAUCCAUUUUCUUCAACAAAUCAACUAUUUCAUUUGCUUUAUACAAUGCAAUUAGCUAUUUGCCUCUUUCUUUUUAUCUUGUUAUUGCUUCUUUUUGUUUCUUUAUGCUUUUGUGAGAUACUAUAUUCUUGACUCAUAGUUUUUUUUUUUUUUUUUGAAAUAAGAAUGAACUUUCAAUAAUACGGGAAAUCAGAACAAGCUACAUCCAUGAUGUUUGGAGGGACAUACCCCAUCGAAAUUGAAUCAGAAGAAGAACAAGCUAUAUUAGCAAGAAAAUGAGCAAGGUUAUUCUGUGUUCUAAAAACAUGAGAAACAGAAAAAAAACUCAAAACCAGAAACUAAGCUACAGCAAUCAUCAAUGAUAAGUUGGAGAUCUGGGGAAAGCUGUCCAGCCCGAAAACCACGCGCAACAACAAGGGAAUCUGUCUCAGCCAGAACUCUGGUAAAACCAUGAUGCACCAUGAGUGUGAAUGCCCACCUCAAAGCCAAGGCUUCAGCCAUAGAAAUACUUACCUCAACCUUACAUCUACUGCAAGCAGCCAUAACCACCAAACCAGUAUGAUCCCUAAGGACACACCCCAUACCGAGCCACCCUUCCUUGAUGCUGGCAUCAACAUUUAAUUUGAGUUUCCCUACAUCUGGAGGCUGCCAUCUUCUCAACUCUUUGGGUUUCUUCUGCCUUAUGUGCCCCUCAUUCCUUGAAAUGAACUCUCUAUCAAAAAGAGAAGCAACCUGAAAAGCUCUUACAGGAUCAGCAACCUUUCCUGAAAAACAUAAGUCAUUCCGAGCCUUCCAAAUGGACCAUAACACAUGACAAAUCAAGGACAAGUGGUCACAAUCAUUCAACCCCAACAGAUUUUGAAACCAAGAAACCACCUCAGCCGAAUUGAGAACACAGUGGGAUAAACCCGACCCAAACCAUACAGCCCUGGAAAAUUCACACUCAAGAAACAAAUGAUGCAAUGACUCAGAAGCACCACAACAAAGGGGACAAACAAUAUCCAGAGCAAUACCUUUUUUCACAAGAUUUUCCCUAGUAGGCAAAAUCCUAUUCAUCAAUUUCCAGAGAAAAAUUCUGAUUUUAUGAGGAACAUCAACCUUCCACAAAUCAUUCCAAGUUGAACAAGGAAGAAAAGAACUAGAAGCACCAGGGCCAGAACUUGAACAUGAACUGAGCAUUUGAUAGGCAGAUUUAACAGUGUAAUUCCCAUCAUUGGACCAAUGCCAAGCAAACUUGUCUUCAGGGAGCCUAAUCGAAAGAGGAAUUGAUAGAAUCUUAUCAGCCUCAAAACCCAUAAAGGAGGACUUAAUUAAGUCCUCAUUCCACCUUUUCUGCUCAAAAUCGAUAAGCAUACUGACCUUAGCAUCCUUAGGCAGAUCAAUUGCAGGACUCCAGACCUUAAACCCUGACUGAUUAGGCAACCAACCAUCCUGGAAAACUCUGACAGAUUUACCAUUCCCAAUAGUCCACCUAGAGCCUUUAGAAAUCACAUGCCUCGCAGCUAGAAUACUCCUCCAAGAAAAACUAGGAAGAUACCCCAACUUAGCAUCCAUAAAAGAAGUCCUUGGGUGGUAUCUACUCUUAAAAAUCUGAGCAACCAAAGAAUCAGCCCUGUUAAUCAGCCUCCAACAUUGCUUACCGAGUAUUGCAUCAUUAAAUUUUCUAAGGCACCUAAACCCCAAACCUCCAACAGCCUUUGAUCUCUUAAGCCUUUCCCAACUCAUCCAAUGAAUUCCUUUAUCCUUAGAAUUAUUUCCCCACCAAAACCUAGCCAUCAUACUCUCCAUAGCUGAAACACACCCUUCAGGAAGCUUAAAACAGCUCAUCACAUAGGUGGGAAUCGCUUGCGCAACAGACUUCAAUAAAACCUCCUUGCCCGCACUUGAUAAAUGCCUCUCCUUCCACCCCUUUAACCUCUUCCAUAUCCUAUCCUAGACUAGAGAGAACACCACUUUCUUUGAUCUCCCAAAAACAGUGGGAAGACCAAGAUAUCUAGAAUGAGAUUGAACAGUCUUGACACCCAUCCUUUGCUGGAUUGCAUUUCUAACAUCUACCGGCACAUUAUGACUGAAAGAAAUCUCAGAUUUAUCUAGAUUCACCAACUGUCCCGAUGCUCUCUGAUAAUCAUCAAGGAUGCUCAAAACAGAAUCAGCCUCUUUGAGAGAAGCACGAGCAAAAAGCAGACUGUCAUCAGCAAAUAGGAGGUGUGAAAUCACCGGGGCACCUCUUGCAAUCCUCAAUCCAUGAAUCUGCUGGUCUCUCAUCCUGGAAUUGAUUAAACAAGACAAGGCAUUAUCACAUUGGAUAAAGAGAUAGGGGAAAUCGGAUCCCCUUGUCUCAACCCUCUAGAGGGAACAAUUUUGCUGCUUGGAAAACCAUUGAACAGAAUUUGAUAAGACACCGAGGAUACACAAUCUAUGACCAGCUUAGUAAACCUGCUAGGGAACCCCAUAUGGACCAAAACACCCUUGAGAAAGCUCCACUCCAUCCUAUCAUAUGCCUUUGCCAUGUCGAGCUUCAAAGCCAUCAUUCCUUUUUUCCCUUUUUUCUUCUUCUUCUGUAAGAUCAAGUUUUGAUCUAGUAGUACAACUCUAUGUUUUGAUGAUUACAAGUUAACCUUUUGAUAUGAAUAAUUAUGGUACUCUAACGUGUUUUUCUGAGUGUGCUAUUUACAGGCUCUGACCUUGAUUCAGUCUCACAUAAAUCAGAAGCACUGUGCAUAAAGAGUGACCCAAGCAACGCUUUCGCAACAUCUAUGUUCACUCUGAACAGUAGAAAUGCUUCAGAAGAUCUGAAGUUAUACAAACUCUGAUAUGGACUCAGCCACCAGAAGUUCUGAAGAUCCAGAAGUUCUGACAACCAAGAAACUCUGAAGGUUCAGAUGUUCUGAUGGUGUAGAAGACUCUGAAGAUUCAGAAGCUGAACAGUGGAAACUCUGAUGUCCAGAAGCAAGAAACUCUAAAGACCAUGUACUUCCCUCUGAGUCCAGAAUCAGAAGAUACAACGGUCAGAGGAUCUGUGCUUUCCCUCUGACUCUGAUCAACCGGCUUCACAAGUUCCAACAUGAAGCAUUCCCCUGAUCAGAAGUCUCCUAGGUUUAAAGGUCAAGUCGCUAUCCAAGUACAAAAGCAAAUUGUACUAUCCUGACGACCUACCUAACAUCCUCAGCCACAGCAGAAGCUGGAAUUUCCAGAACUUCCCUCCAACGGUAGCAUUUCCAUGCAACGUUCAACCCUAAUCCUUGGAGUAUAAAUAGAGGCUGAAGAUUGAAAGAAGCGGCUAGAAGCAUUCAUACACGCGCAAGAAAUAUUCAAAUCCUUCUAAGCUUUCUUUCAUCUUGAAUUUCAUUGUGUUUACUAUAAGCUUUUUAGAAGCACCUUCUUUGUAGACAAGAACUUCAUAUACAGUUGUAUAGUUUGCCUUUAGGAGAUCAAGGUUGAUCGGAUCCUUGAGAAGACUAAGAGAGUGAAUCUUAGUGUGAGCUAAGUCAGUGUAUUGUUAGUCACUUGUAGGUUUCAAGUGCAGUUGUAACACAUACCUGAUUAGUGGAUUGCCUUCAUUCUAAGAAGGAAGAAAUCACCUUAACGGGUGGACUGGAUUAGCUUGAGUGAUUUAUCAAGUGAACCAGGAUAAAAUCCUUGUGUGCUUUUCUAUCUCUUAUCUUUAGCACAUAGUUUGUUUCGAAAGAUUUGCCAAAAUCUUUAAGGUGGAAGUUUUAUCUUGAAAACGUUAUUCAAACCCCCCCCCCCUUCUACCGUUUUUCAUACCUUCAUCUUCAACCAAUGGAAACACUCAAGGGUAAUCAAAGCAUUAUCGGUAAUGAGCCUACCCGGAAUAAAUGCACUUUGAGCUGGAUCAAUAAUCUUCGGCAACACCCCUUUGAUCCUAUUAGCCAUUGCUUUAGUGACUAUCUUCAUAACAACGUUGCACAAACUAAUGGGCCUAAACUCCUUCGGGAUGGAUGGCUUCUUACACUUAGGAAUAAGGGUAAUGAAAGUGGAAUUAAUACUUUCCGGACUCAAACCCUCAUUCAGAACAGCCAACACAUGCUUAACAACCGACGCACCAACAAUGUGCCAAUACUCUUGGAAGAACUUUGCUGGGAGACCAUCAGGCCCAGGGGCCUUGAGAGGAUGCAUUUGGAAUAUGGCCUUAACAACUUCAUCCUCCUGAAAAUCACUAUCAAUCAAAUCCACAUCCUGCUGCUCCAACUUGGUGUCAAUGGCCCUGCAAAUGUCAGGGGGUUCCUCCACCAUUUGGGAAGUGAAAAUAGAUGAGAAAUAACUGUUCAGAAUAGCAGAAACGUUCUCAGGCUUGUUGUACCACACACCAUCCUCUCCUUUCAGCUUUUUAAUGCUAUUCACCGCCUGCCUUUGAUUUGCUUUAGCAUGAAAAAACCCAGUAUUCCUGUCCCCAUCUUUUAACCACAUAGCUCUGCUCCGUUGCCUCCACAUAGUCUCUUCAAGCUGCAAAAGCAGCGAGUGUUCUUCUACCAUCUCCUUAAAUUUCGCCAGAUUUUCAGGUUUAUCAUCCCAAGAAGCAUCCUUCUGCAACUCACCCUCUAGAAAAAUGAUUCUCUUUCUGAAAUUUCCCACAGUGUAACCUCGAAAGGUAUUCUUAAGACCUUGAAUACUACCAAGCUUCUUAACAAAAUCAUCUCUUUGCCCAAUCCAAGCAUGGAAGAUCUCCUCCUCGCACCUUGGAUCCAAACACCACACCUCUUCAAACCUAAAAGGACGUUGUUGUCUUCUCAUAGGGACAUCCAUAAACUUCUCAAUGGAGACAGAAAUAACUGCAUGAUCUGAACCAUAUCUUCCCAAGUGCUGCACAGAACUAGCAGGAAAAAUCUGAGAAAAUACCUCAGUACAUAAAGCUCUGUCCAGCCUAGCCUGAAUAUUUGCAUCACCUGAUAUGCCAUUAGUCCACGUGAGAGGAUAGCCACUAAAGCCCAAAUCAACUAGCCCAAGAUCAUCCAUAACAUCCCUUCCCCUCUGCAACUGAGAAUCAGACCGCGAAAUACCACCUUUCUUCUCAUUGUUCGAGAUAACAUCAUUCAAGUCCCCAACCCCAAGCCACCUCAACCCCCCCCCCUCCUGAACUAGAGACCUGAUUAGAGACCAAGUCCUCUCCCUCAGCCUCGUACACGGGUAGCCAUAAAUCCCAGAAAAACACCAAGGGUCUUCAUCCUCAACUACAGAAACAGAGAUAUGAUUGUUUGAAAAAGAAAUGAGAGAAACAUUCAAAGAUUCAGACCACCACAAAGCUAGCCCCCAUUUUCUCCCCUUGCCAUUAUCAACACAAUCCACAACCAAAAAAUUCUUAAGACCAAAGUCCAACCUUAUUUUUUCAAUUUCAAACUUUUUCAACCUGGUUUCCAUCAAGAAAACCAAUUGAGGAAUCUCUUUUCUUACGAGCCUUUGCAAGGCCCUAACUUCCUGGGGACUCCCCAAACCCCGGCGGUUCCAGCUAAGGAGUUUCAUGGCUGUAGGCAAUGUUGGUCUCCCAACAUCGCCUCUAAAUGAGCAUCAGCCAUAUCCACAUCCAUCAUCAAUUUCUUGCUUAAGUGACCCCGAAAAGUCUCAUCAUCCACUUCCACAAUAUCCACAUCAAUCAGGCUUCUCUUCUUAUCUAAACAAGAGAGGACUUUGCAAUUGUCACAGCAGCCCUACUAGCAUCAAGUCUCUUCCAACCUCUCUCGGUAGUCACCUUCUUUUCACUAGAGCUCCCAACACAAAAAGAUAGCUCAGCCACAGGAGCACAAUUUUCCUUAACCUCAGAAUCUGAGCCCUGCUUUAGAACAACAUUACCAAGUGCCUCAAGCACAUCAUCCACUUGUUGGACCACCAUACCACACUCAACAGCAGAAUUUUCAGGGGAAACAUUUGUGAUAUCAGAUAGAACAUGACUAGACAUCCCACCCACAAGAAACUCCUUAGCAGGCCCAACAGAAACAACACUUGGGGCCUUAGCAUCAGCAGCAAGUUCACCUAUACUUCUUUCAGAAACAGGAACCACAGUAGAGUUCUCAAGAUCAGCAAAAGGAACUCUAUCAGCAGACACACCAGAAUUCUUAGUAUCUGAAGACACCUUAUCAACCAACAAGCACAAAUCAUUUUUCCUUUGAACAUCCUUAUGCCUGGUUACCACCUUGGAACCACCACAGCCAAACCUAACCACACCAACAUCAUCAGAACGACCCACGGAUCCCUCACCAGCCCUCCCCACACCAUCAAUAGCAGAACGAAAUAGGGACUCACAACCUUUAGACUUCAUAGGAUGAGCAACAUCCUCACCAAAAGGGGAAGCCCUCAACCAUGGCCCAAAAGGAAAGUCCACAGCAUCAUGAUCCUCCUCAACAUCCUCAAAUUCAUUACAAUCCUUGAUCUGAUGGCCUAUUCUUCCGCAAGCAAAGCAAAAAUUAGGAAGCCUCUCAUAUCUGAAAUAAACCUUAAGCUCCUUCCCUUGCCAAAACAACAUCGUACCCCUGAGAAGAGGCUUGGUAAGAUCAAUGGUAACCUUAAUCCUGAAGAAGAGGCCCAAACGGUUCUCAAGCUUACAAUCAACCUCCACAAAGCUACCAAUUGAAUCCCCCAACCUCCUGGCAACUGCUUCAGACUUCAAUUUCAGAGGGAGAUCAUAAACCCUCACCCACAUAUCCACAGAGGAGAGCUCAAUUUUAGAUGGCUGAUCUUCAUCACUGAAUUUCUUAAGCACCAAUAUACUACGAUCGAAACUCCAUGGACCCCCUUGGAUCACAGAUAUGAGAUCCUUUGAUGUAGCAAAUUGAAACAAGUACCGAUUCUUGGAGAUCUCAUUGAUUUCGACUGGAUGUCGCCACGCCGCCUUCAUAGUGUUCAUGAACGCCCUAACAUUGUGCGAACCUUCAGACCACAACUUCCCAGCCAGCAACCGAGAGGUAAGAUCAUCAUCUCUACACUCAUCCUCAUCGAUUGUAACACUGCUCUGGAUCUCAGAAGCAUUGAGAUCGAAAUUCCGAUGCAUCGUAGAACACAGGGAAACAAGGAGAAAACUACGAAGAGAGAAAAAACAGGAAAGAGACAGAGAAUCAAGGAGCGAACCAGAGAAUCAGAGAGCAAGAUGAAGAAGAAGAGCCUAGGGAGACCUAGGAGAAGACCACCAAGUCGGUGGAGAUCUUGACUCAUAGUUUGGUCUAGCCCUUACUGUAAUAUAAUUCUCUUUUAAUAUAGAGUUUGGGCUAGCUCUUUUAAUAUAAUUCUCUUUUUGGUUUUCCGAAAAAAAAAAGUGAAGGUAAAUUGGCCUCCAGAACCUUUAAGAUAAGCUUCUAUUCACUCCCAAUCAAACUGAUGGGCCUGAAGUCAAGCAUAGAUUGUGGAUAUUACGUUUCAGGAUUGCAGAGAUGAAAGGAGCAUUUAAAACCCUUACAAUUUUCCAAGACUCAUGGAAUUCAUGGAAGAAUUUGACCUCAUUAUUGAGAUUGAGAUUGAAUUUGUCCGGGCCGAAGCUUGAUUUCCAUCACGAUUUUUAUCACUCCCCAAAGUUUCAAAUUCUGAAAAGUUUGCUUCUAAACGAGCCUUAUCCCUGUGACUUAUCUUUGAAAGUUUGAGCAUCUGAGCUUGCAAUUGGGUCGCACCUUAUUUUCCCUUGAAAAAAAGGUUCUAAAUGAUUGAAAAUGGCCACCUCUGUUCAAAAAAAAGAAAAUGGCCACCUUAAUCGAUGUUGGAUCCUCAAUGUAUACCUCACCUACGUUCAAUUUCACUAUUCUUUUCUUUGCUUUCCUUCCUUCAACUAGCGUAUCCUAGCUUUUUGCCUCCACUUUUCAAAUCGUCACAACUCAACGACAUAAUUUAUCUGUCGCAACAUUCGGAACAGACUAUUACAUUUUUAUUUACGUCGUAUCAAAUAUUAUUAUUUCUGUAACCAACGGCGUCGCAAAAUUCAGGACGAAGCAUGAUAGUUUUAAUUCCGUCAUAACAAAAAAACAUUAUUUCUGUCAUCCAAUCGGUCGUAAAAAAAAUUUCUUCAAAAAUAUAAGUAUAUUCCGUCCCAAAAAAUUGAUUUCUUCCAUCGCACAUUAAUUAUUAAUUAAAUGAAUACUAUAAUUCAAUAUAUUAUGUCCUUAUUUCUGUCCCAAAAGCGCGACGAAGAAACAUUCUGUUCUAAAAACUUUGCGACGCACAAAAUCGCGAUGAAAUGUUUCAGUCGCACAUCCGUCCCAAAAUCAUUUAAGAAUAGAAAUUUUAACAAUCGUGUGACGAGGGCGGCGAUGUUCAACUUGAUUCCAGAGGAUUGGGGUGGUCACGUCACGCCUUGGGUCUCAGAGAUCAAACAGUACUUCAAUCGCCUCAAGAGUCUCCACUUUCGCCGAAUGAUUGUCACCAACUCCAGCAAGGAAACUCAUCCUUUUGGUACGAGAACUGGUUGGAAACUGGGGUCCUUUGUUCAUAAGUGCCUUUUGUGCACAUAAGUGACACAGCGUUGGCAGUUCGCGAUGUGUGAAAGACAAUGGCUGGAAGUUUGACUGUUUGUACACGGUGCUUCCAUCAGAGCUGAAGAAUAGGGUUCAAUCAACUGUAGGGCCAACGGGCGUGGAGCAUGUAGAUGCUUGGCGUUGGAAUGAGGAGCCUGAUGGUCAUUACACGUCCAGAUCCGCCUAUGCUUGGCUCAACCAUCGGGACAAUGAGGAGGGUGAACACCAGGUUUGGAUGCAACUGUUGAAAUUGAGGAUUCCGGGAAAAUGCAAAUUUAUGAUUUGGCUUGCGCUGCACCAAUCUUUGCCUGUGAAUGUGCACUGGCAUGCUUGCUCUCUUGCCACCAGCGCUGCGUGUGGUAGAUGCUCUACCCCAACGGAGGACAUUCUUCACUGUCUUCGUGAUUGUCCACACUCGAUGGAAGUUUGGACCAGGUUAGGCUAUGGAACCUUUGUGGGCUUCUUCUCACAAGACUCUUGGUCAUGGAUCCUGGCUAUUUUACGACAAGAAGAUACAGGGCGAAUUUUGUAUAUUUGAUGGUGGAUAUGGCGUUGGAGGAACAAUAUGGUGCUAGGGACAGAGAGAUGGGAAAUUGAAUAGGUGAUUUGCAAUGUGUGGCAGGACUCGAAAGACUCUAUGCUUGACACUGUCGUGGUGCACCAGUUCAGCACAAACAAAUCUUCUUGGGAGGCUCCUGAAAUAGGUUAGGUGAAGGUAAACGUUGAUGGUAGCCACCAUCGAGCAUCCUCUGGAAUAGCCUGCGGUGGUUUGAUUCAGGAUCACCAUGGAAAAUGGCUUCAAGGUUUUUCUGGUUUUGAAGGCCAGGGGGACGUGUACAUGGCAGAGCUUCUCGGAGUUCUCAGAGGCCUUCAGCUAGCGUGGCAUCAUGGUUACAGGAAGGUAGUUUGUGAAUCAGAUUCUUUGAGUGUGGUGCAAACCUUGUCGACAGGCAAAUCAGUAAACCUCCAUUCUUGUGCGGUGCUCUUGACAGAAAUUCAUUGUAUGCUUCUGGAGGAUUGGGAGGUGAUUUUCAAGCAUGUCUUGCGGGAUAAAAACAACGAAGCUGACACUCUAGAAAAGCUUGGCUUAGAGAAGAAGUGGAGGCUCACAACCUGGAAUUCCCCUCCCACUGAGCAUGUUCAGUUGGGAGGUCUAGUCUAAUUGUUUUUUCUUUUGUCUUUAUUUUCAUAAUCUACAAAAAAAAAAAACAUCAUAAUGUGAAUAUUUCCGCUCCUAUGAAUAAUGGAGUAUUAAUGGCACAAGUAACUUACUCGAAUUUUUGUAAUUUAGUUACUCUAAUAUGAAUGAUACAAAUGGUGGAUUUAUUUAUUUCCACUCUUCCCGCUUACCUCUAUAUCACUUUUGGUUCUUGCUUAAUGUUUCCACCGUUUCUACGGUAAACCUUUUAUGGAUUUAACAUUUGCUUUAUUGGUUAAUUUGUCCUUUUAAUGCAUUGAACAUUGGCUUUAUGGUUUGUAUCUGAAAGACUGAAACACAUUGAAAACCAAAAGGUUCCUUCUUUUGAAAUGGUUGCAUCUUUUAUAAAAGGAUAUCCAUGUUGAGUCGGAGAAGAUUUUGGAUUUUUCCAAUUAAGCAAGAUUUCAACAUGUAUAAAUUCUGAGUGUACAAUAUCUUGUAUGUGGCUAUGUUAUUGGAGAACAAACCUAACAUUAGAUUGCACUGGAGGUUUACCAUACUUUUACUUUCAAAAUAGUGAUUCGUCCACGGCGCAACUUUCCUCUUAUCUUCCAACAGAUGACACAUGUAAGAAUUGAAAUAGAACGCAAUUGUUUUUUCAAUCAAUUUUUUUUAUUGUUAUAGUUUUAAUAGAGCACAUGAAUAAAUUUAAAAUUUGACGAUUUAAUAAUAUCUAAUUAAUAUAUGUAAAUUCUGUGGCAUAGGUUAAUUUACUAGUUUUUAAAUAUAAGAAAGUAAUACACAAUUACAAGUGGCAUAGAUUUAAGAAAGUUCCAAUACCAUUUGAGGAGUUAAAUAAUUACGUUGAUGAAAAAAACAUAUACAAACUUAUUGUAGAUGGAUGGUUAGGCACUUGAUAAUCUCCUCUGGUUAGUUUUGUUCAAAAUAUAAGCAUUCUAACAAUAGCCAACGGGAAUGAGUUUCACAAGGAAAACGGGAAGAUGUAAGAGGAAGUACGCAUUCCAAGGAGCACCAGGAAAGGGAAGUGAGAGAUGAUAGCGGAGAGUUUGAGUGGUCAAGAGAUAGCAAUCCAAAUAUAUAUAAUAUGGUAAGAGGAUACGGAUGGUGUAAUGCUCUCUUCACACUAUAAAAUAGCAAAACGUCAUUGCUAGAAACAAAAGUACAAAUUUAAGGAGAAAAAGAAGAAGAUUAAGGAAAUGGACAUGGUACAAUUUUUGCUUUUGCUAUGCCUCUUAGUGGGGAUAACCUCAACGGUGCAUGGUGAAGACCCUUACUUCUAUUUCACAUGGAAAGUCACAUAUGGCACACUUUCCCCGGCGGGUGUCCCUCAACAGGUUAUUCUUAUCAAUGGUGAAUUUCCUGGACCCAACAUCAACUCGACCAGUAAUAACAACCUUGUUGUAAACGUCUUCAACCAACUUGAUGAGCCUCUCCUUUUCACAUGGUCUAGUACUUUCUCUAUUUUAUUAUGAACAAUUAAGAUUAAGAGUACCAAAACGGAAAAAUAUCACAUAAGCAUAUGAAUAACUUUGCUUUGCAGGGCGGGAGUCCAACAAAGGAAAAACUCAUGGCAAGAUGGGGUACCUGGAACUAACUGUCCCAUUGCUCCAGGAACAAACUGGACCUACAAGUUCCAGGUGAAGGACCAAAUAGGAAGCUACUUCUACUACCCAAGCUUGGGCUUGCAUAGGGCAGCUGGUGGAUUCGGUGGCCUACGCAUAAACAGUAGGUUACUUAUCCCUGUCCCCUAUGCAGAUCCUGAAGACGAUUACACUGUCCUCGUUGGCGACUGGUACACCAAGAGCCACUCUGCUCUCAAGAAAUUACUUGACAGCGGUCGCGCUCUUGGCAGGCCCCAAGCUGUUCUCAUCAACGGCCAAAAUGCCAAAGGAGACGGAACCGACAAGCCACUAUUCACAAUGAAGCCAGGAAAAACCUACAAAUAUAGAAUCUGCAAUGUGGGUCUGAAAAACUCCAUCAACUUCAGGGUCCAGCAACACUCCAUGUUACUCGUUGAAUUGGAAGGUUCCCACACCGUGCAAAACAGUUACGACUCACUUGACGUCCACGUCGGGCAGUGCUUUGGUGUCCUCAUAACUGCUGAUAAGGAACCGAAGGACUACUACAUGGUUGCCUCGACCAGGUUCACGAAAACUGUUUUGACCGGCAAAGGGAUCAUCCGCUAUACCAAUGGAAAGGGACCAGCUUCACCUGAACUCCCUGAGGCCCCUGUGGGCUGGGCCUGGUCUCUGAACCAGUACCGUUCCUUCCGUUGGAACCUCACUGCCAGCGCUGCCAGGCCUAACCCCCAGGGCUCUUACCAUUACGGCCAGAUAAACAUCACCCGCACUGUUAAGCUAAUUAACUCUGUCAGCAGGGACAAUGGGAAGCUCCGUUACGCGCUUAACGGAGUCUCCCACGUUGACCCAGAAACACCCAUCAAGCUCGCUGAGUAUUAUGGGAUUGGUGAGAAAUUUUUCAAGUACGACACCAUUCCAGAUAGCCCGCAAGGCCUUUCAAAUGCUGUCACCUUGCAAACCAAUGUUCUUAACUUCACCCAUCGCACCUUCAUCGAGAUCAUCUUCGAGAACCACGAAAAAAGUGUCCAGUCGUAUAAUUUGGCCGGCUACUCAUUCUUCUAUGUCGCG